AUACUUACCUGGUGCUGGGUCGGUGGUCAUCAUUGAGGCCGCGGCCCCGUGCGGAGGCCUCUCCUAUGCACGGCGGUUGGCUGAAGCCCGCCACUUCCCCAGGUCGGGGUAGCUGGAGCAUGCAAUGUUUGGUAGUGGGGCUAGGUGUGCGCACUCGACCCCAU